AUUUUUUAAAAUUAACUUUUGUUUUACAUUUUCAUUAAUGUUGCUUUAACGUGAAAACAAGUUGCAACAAGUUGCCACUUUACAGCUGCGUGUUUAAAGGAGCAGAUCUUAGGAUUGAGAGCACAUCUCGUGCCUUAACUUUAAGGCAGUGUAACAAUAAACCAGCGUGCGUCAAAGGCAUAUCACUUGUUUGUAGGCAUUAAAAGCAUUAAAUGCUUUACUCUGUGUUGCAUAACUGACUUGAACAACAUCCCCCAUUUGUAUUCUUCUCGCUCUUCUUUAUUUCCCCUCAAGUUCUCACUUUUUUCCUUUCUCCUUUCAUUUAAGGUCUCUUGUUCUCUUUUCCUCCUCCUUCCUUUCAUUCGAAUGCCCUCACAUCCCUCAUUUCUCUUUUCCAGUCUUGAUCUUUCUUAAGUGACUUUUUGUGGAUGACCUCAUUUACCCCUCGGCGUCGGUUAAAAAUCAUCAUUUCUUUUAACCUUUCCCUCUUUUUAAUCCACUCCCUCGAUCUCUCUAUUACCCCCCCCCCCCCUCCUCUCUUUCUUCAACUACAUUCCUUUUCGCUAUUCAUUACAUUUUUUGCACAAUCAUUCACUCUUCUCUCUCUCUCUUUUCUUUAACAAACUCCCUUCUCAUUUCUCCCCCUUCAAAUUAAAAUUCGGAGACUCUCUCGCUCUAUUUGUUUUGCCCUCCCUUUAUAUUCAGUGUCAGUCUCCGUAACCCCAGUCGCCAUUGCUUCUUCUUGCCUUUUAUAACCAUGGGAACAGAGGAGACCACGUUGCCAAGGCAACAGGGGGAACAUGCUGGGAUUCAAGCUGAGGCUUCCUCUCAGGCGCCUGCCGGGAAGGGAAUGUGGAAGCAGUAGCAGCAGGCGGGCGGUGGACGGCUAAGUUACAUGCAGGCACAGGCGUCCGGGGUCCUGAUGCUCACGUGGAUAAAUCAUCACUGCUGCACAGACAGAGACGGUUCUCACACUCGCUCAUGUGUCCCUGUGACUUUAGUUCUGGUUUAAUAUCCUCUCAGCCUUUUUAAUAUCUUAACCUUUGGGCUAAAUCUUUCCGUUUUACCACUGCUUUAAGCUGAAAUGAAACCAACGGAAAUAUGGACGUACAGAAAUAUAAAAUAAUUUGAGUCUAAAACAAUUACCAGACGUCUUCAUGACUCAUCUAUUUCUCAUGUGGAGGAAUUAGUCUCAAAACUGGUGACAAAUGUGUUUCAUGAUCCACAAACAAAAACCAGUUUAGCAAAGGUGUGUGAAAAUUACAAAAAAAUACCAACCGAUUUAAUCAUUUUGCAAAUAAAUACAAAACACCACAUUAACUUCCAUAUGCUACACUUCCAACUUCAAGUUCUUAACCUCAUAGGCUAUACAAUCAAUUUAAUCAAGAUAAAAGUCAGUGGAUUUGUGUUACACAAUGUAAUAACAUACGUUUGGCUUUUUAACAGAGCACAACCUGCAUUUGUGGAUCUGCAUCCAGCCAACGUUCUGACGCAACACAACUUCAUUCACAAUCACGUUUUGAGGGUAAAGCUAUUUUCUCUCAAAUUCCCGUUGCAGUGAAACAAAAUAAGUACUUGAUUAUCUUAGGCUACAUGGCUCCUGGGACACAAACACGUGUCCUGGAGUGUCUUGUGAAUAAAUGCAGAAGAGAACAAACUAGCUUGGUUGAUUUGUGACAUUGUGACAUUUCUUUUCAAAUAUUAGUAAAUUGUGUUUUUUUUACCUUACCAGUAAUGGUGGUUUAAUAGUUAACAGUUGAUUCUAGUCAGUACAUCAACAGUGAGGCCGGCAGCUGUUGGAGGUUUCAUUGACAUUCAUGCUCAGCAGGCAGGCCGCGCCGGUCCAGAGAGAAUAAACAACAGUCAGGACUGCAGCGUCGGCCUUUAUCCUCUCCAGUGAACUUAUCUGUUCACAAAGCUCCUCGUUCUGCCUGACUUUGGCGAGCUGUGGGUACGCCUGGGAUACCGGCUGGUACCAGUCGAAUCUCUACGGCAGCUCACAGAGAAAUAUGGAAGCAUCACUGCUGCAGAAAGACUGCUGAUGUGCUUUGAUCGUUUGGUGCGAAACCAGGUUGGACAAACUUGUCAAAAAGGAAAAUGGCAACGCUGUCUCCGUUUAGCCGGGCUCUGAGGCCAACAGCUAACAAUAUGUUCAUCAUGAUUGAAUCUGGUAACCUUUACGGAUGCAGGACAUCCAGUAUAUCAAAAUAAAUAACACCAAAAGUCACUUGCAAAAUCAAAGACUUCAACUUUGUUUUGUAUGUUCAUGCUUAACGCAAAGG
ensembl:lncRNA